AUUAGCUCAGUCGGUAGAGCACUUGACUUUUAAUCAAGGUGUCCCGAGUUCGAAUCUCGG
rnacentral:tRNA from 2 species